UACCGCCGCCGCUUCCGCCGCAACCUCUUCUACUCCCGCAAGACCCUGAGUGUCACGUUGUUGCUCCUCUUGACCCGCCAGUUGAUAUUCCACGAUUUCCGACGACCAUAUAAACGACCUAGACAGAAGGACUACGUGUUGAAACCGGUAUUAUACCAAUAGAUU
rnacentral:rRNA from 1 species